GCAAUAUAUGCAAUUUUUCGUUUUCGCAGCAGGACGUGAAUAACAUGACUGGAUGUUCGAGAAAGAUUUCAGCUAUAUGAGUAAUCAUGGAUAGAGAAACUGGCACGUCCAAGGUUUUGGCUUUGUUACUCUUGGUGACACCGAGGCUGCUUUUGCUACCAUGGAGUCAAUGGAUCAAUGGGAGUUACAUGGCCAAACUCUUAGGGUGAACUACACCAAAUCAGAGGUCACAAAGUGGAGUAGGUUUUCAAAGGGAUAAGUGUUGUAAAAGGACAGCUAUGCAAUUUUCUAAGG